rnacentral:rRNA from 1 species
GUAGGUGGCAAGCGUUGUCCGGGAAUUAUUGGGGCGUAAAGCGCGCGCAGGCGGUUCUUUAAGUCUGAUGUGAAAGCCCACGGGCUCAACCGUGGGAGGGUCAUUGGAAACUGGAGAACUUGAGUACAGAAGAGGAAAGCGGAAUUCCACAUGUAGCGGUGAAAUGCGUAGAGAUGUGGAGGAACACCAGUGGCGAAGGCGGCUUUCUGGUCUGUAACUGACGCUGAGGCGCGAAAGCGUGGGGAGCAAACAGGAUUAGAUACCCUGGUAGUCCACGCCGUAAACGAUGAGUGCUAAGUGUUAGGGGGUAUCCGCCCCUUAGUGCUGCAGCUAACGCAUUAAGCACUCCGCCUGGGGAGUACGGCCGCAAAGGCUG